CCCACGCCCCGCACCUCCUCCCAACGACGAGAGCAUGGUCGGGAUUCCGCCCGUCGAUCCUCCGCCUUCGCCCAUCCUUCGCCUACGCCGCUGUCCGCCGCCCGUCGAUCCUCCUCCGCUGCCGCCUCCCGCCGAUCCUCCACUCGGCUAUCGCGCGUAGAUCCUCCACUCCGCCGGCGCCCCCUCCCCCCUGACCCCGCCUCCGCCCGCCCCGCCCCGCCUCCUCAGAGGAGGCCGUCAAUGUAGGCCCCACCGCCAGCCCUCAGCUUUCGCCCCGUCCCCGUGCUCCCGACGCCGUGGGUGCUCGUGAGGAUCUCCGUGUCCCGUGAUUUCCCCCAUUCCUGUUCCUAGGAUUUCAACGCCUGCUUCGGUUCGUCUGGUGGUGCCGGUGUUCACUUUGUGCGCAGGUGGGGAAGGUUCUCAUGGUCGGGGUUGGAGGCAUCAGGUGCGAGCUUCUCAAGACCCUCGCCCUCUCGGGCUUCAGUGACAUCCACAUCAUUGACUUGGACACUUGUGUUCAGCAAUCUGUACAGACAGUUUCUAUUUCGGAAGAGUCAUGUUGGACAGUCAAAAGCCCAUGUAAGUAUAUUUUCUACAUGAACAUAUGGUGGUUAUAGGUAUCUUGUGGAAUUUUUUCAUAAUUGAUGCCUGCUUAUAUUUCCACCAUUGAUUUUGUCAGGUUACUUGGGAUGCUAUUCUGAAAUUUAGUCCAAAAAUCUAUAUAAAUCACACCAUGCAAAUGUUAAGGAUGCCCAUUUCAACGUAGACUUUUUCAAGCAAUUUAAUGUAGUUUUGAAUGGCCUUGAUAACUUGGAUGCUAGAAUACAUGUGAAUCGCCUCUGCCUUGUUGCUGAAGUUCUUUUGGUUGAAAGUGGGACCACUGGAUUUCUCGGACAGGUGAGGUGACCAAAUAUCAUGGUUUUUGUCUCUAUAUCUUUGCAUCUCCCUUGUCACUAAUGCCCGUGGGUAUUUUUAAGCUUGUCUUUUGUAUUUUGCUCAUAGUACUCCUGUUACAAGGUGGCCAGUGUGCUAACCGUUGGUGGUCCCUUUUCAUUUUAUUAGUAAGAUAGAAGAAAUAUUUACCCUAGGUGUACAACCUUCCAGUUGAGAUGGCCAUUGUGUACACUCUGAUAACAUGAGAGAGUUGGCAUUUCUAUGGGUAAAUGUUAGUGCCUAAACUGGUUUGUGUAGCUUCUGAACCCCAACCAGGCACCAAUUGAAUCCUUCCGUUGCAAGUUGAUGAGCCCUUAAUAUGAGAAAGAGGACAUUUCUAUGGUGUAGGGCCUAAAUUUAAUGACCUUGGUUUGGUGCUUCUCAUAGUUUCCUUUUUCCAGAUUAAUGCCAAUUUAAAAAAAAUCAGCAAAUGUUCGUACAAAGAAUUCAGUAAGUACAAGAAAGAUUACAAAUAUUUGGCAGCUCGCAUCCAGCGUGCCCCUAGACGCACAUUCCAUUUCUGCAAUCGGUGGAUGUCUGUCAAGUUAGAAAUUACUUCCCUUUCCCAACAAGAUCAUGGAUGGUACAAUGCGGGUGGUUGCUGGUUUGUUUCUAUUCCUAGCGACUUACUUUUAUUUUACUCAUUAUAAUUUAUAAGUCAUAAUUCUGGAUGACUUCCUUUGUUAUACUAAUGUGAGUGCUACCUUCAAUUUUGUUGAGUUCUUGCAUGGAACUCCCGAUGCUAUAUACUCCCUCCUUACCAAAAUAUACGGCACAAUUGACUUUUUUUGGUCUUCGAUUCACAACUUUGAAUUUGAUUUUCACUUAUAUUAUGUCUACACAAAUUAAAAAAUUUGCAAAUACGAUGAUACCACUUAUAAAUGCUAUAAUCAUAUAAUUUUUUUUGUAUUACUGUGCAGAGUUGUGCAUUAAAGACCAUGCAAUGUCAAGCGUGCCUUAUAUUUUGGGAAGGAGGGACUAUGAAUAAGGAAAUUUAAAAAGUGAAGGAGCAACUUUAUAAUUUUUUUGCUGCUUCCGUCACAUGCUUAUCUUUGAUGACAAGCUCUUUAUCACACAAUUUAGUCUCUCACGGAUGUCUCUUACAUGGGUGAUUUGACUUUAUAUUUGGGCUAUGUCUCUAUUUUUAUUAGCAACAACAAAUGAAGCCUGACAGUUGCUCGAGGAUGCUUCUGCUGUACAGACAUAGUGGGGGACAUUUAAGAUGUAUAGCUCAUAUAGGAGAGUCGAGAAAUUCGCAGAACCUAAAGUUAUAUUUUCUACUGUAACCAGAAAUAUUCCACAACAACACACUAAUUAUAAUGAGCAUUGCAACAAAAAUUCUACUUUUUUACUUUUCCAUGUUUUUGUUUGAAAUCAAAUUUGGUACCGGCACUACUAAUUAAUGGCUUCAGUCAGAUGAUGACAUACAAUUAUUGUAUCGUGUUUUUCAGGAGGUUUCAAUGUUUGAACGUUACUGUUUCUUGUCAAUGAAGAUUAGCUUUUUCCGUACGCGAACAUUACAAUUUGUUCAAGUUGGAUGCCAGCUGUGUCCUGGCUUUGGUGGCAGUGCUCAAAACCUGCAGAUUCUCUAUCACUCUAUUUACAUGAACUUAGUUUUCAUAUAUGUCUUCCCCUAUCCCUUUUUUACAUUCAACUAACUUGCUAUCUAUUUGCUUGGUUGAAGAUGGGAGACUUGCCUAUUGGUUUAUAUAAAUGAUAGGCUUUCCCGUUUGUUAGUAAGGAGUGUGGGCCUGAAUCAUCGUUUUCACUCAUGUUUCAUCUGGCAAGAUCUUUCUUUGCAUGGUUACACCUUGAUAAACUGUGCACCAACUCACAUGACAAUAAAUUGAAUUCAAAUCUUUGUUGGGCAGAAAUGGUUCACUUAUUUAACCAACUAUCAUGCACCCAUUAUUCUGCUAUGUCCAUAUACAUUUAUGUUUUCUUUAGGCUUGGAACUUUAUACAUGAUGAAAAUUGAUGUUGGCCAAAGUUAGGGUUGCCAACUAGGCACAUCUUAUUUCAAUCAGUAUCUAUAGUUUCAGCUCAUUAGCUUAUGAAAGUACCUUGGAAAGUAUGAUACCAUGCCAUAUAAUGAAUGUAAUCUUGGUUUUUUUGUUGUUGUCAUUUUCUUACAUGUCUUUCCUUUUUAGUGAUUUGCUGCCAAAGUAUUAUUGAUCUCCAAUGUUGAGUGUCGACAAAUGAGCAAUUUAAAUGCCUUUUCAGUGCUGAAUCUGGAUGAAGAGGAAUGAGAGAACAUAAUCUCGGUGAAGAUAUUUCAGUGAGACAAGAUAGUGUGUACAAUUGAACUUUUUUUCAGGAGAGCAGUAGAAAAUUAUAUUGCUUGGUUUUUUUAUAUUCCUUUUCCAAUGUAAUUUUACGCAUUAUUGGCUUGGAAUAGAUGAUAUCUCACAAAUCAAGUUUGAAUUACUCAAAUAAUCAUAACAUGGUUG